rnacentral:rRNA from 1 species
UACGGAGGGUGCAAGCGUUAUCCGGAUUCACUGGGUUUAAAGGGUGCGUAGGUGGGUUGGUAAGUCAGUGGUGAAAUCUCCGAGCUUAACUUGGAAACUGCCAUUGAUACUAUCAGUCUUGAAUAUUGUGGAGGUCAGCGGAAUAUGUCAUGUAGCGGUGAAAUGCUUAGAUAUGACAUAGAACACCAAUUGCGAAGGCAGCUGGCUACACAUAUAUUGACACUGAAGCACGAAAGCGUGGGGAUCAAACAGG